AGUGAACGCUGGCGGUAGGCCUAACACAUGCAAGUCGAACGGCAGCACAGUAAGAGCUUGCUCUUACGGGUGGCGAGUGGCGGACGGGUGAGGAAUACAUCGGAAUCUACUUUUUCGUGGGGGAUAACGUAGGGAAACUUACGCUAAUACCGCAUACGAACUACGGGUGAAAGCAGGGGAUCUUCGGACCUUGCGCGAUUGAAUGAGCCGAUAUCGGAUUAGCUAGUUGGCGGGGUAAAGGCCCACCAAGGCGACGAUCCGUAGCUGGUCUGAGAGGAUGAUCAGCCACACUGGAACUGAGACACGGUCCAGACUCCUACGGGAGGCAGCAGUGGGGAAUAUUGGACAAUGGGCGCAAGCCUGAUCCAGCCAUACCGCGUGGGUGAAGAAGGCCUUCGGGUUGUAAAGCCCUUUUGUUGGGAAAGAAAAGCAGCAGGUUAAUACCCCGCUGUUCUGACGGUACCCAAAGAAUAAGCACCGGCUAACUUCGUG
rnacentral:rRNA from 1 species